CACUGCAGCUGCCUGGGUGCAAGUGAUACACAGCACAGGACAGGGAGCAGAAGGGGCCUUGUUCUCCAGGGUAUCCCCUAGAAAACUCCCCGCACUGAGAACAGUGACCCAAGCUGAACCCUGAGGUGUAUGACUUUGUUGGGCUGGGUUGUGUGUGUGGUUCCCAUCUCCUUCAGUGUAGCUGGUGGAGCUACAAGAUGUCCCACAGGAGAUCCUGGCGUCAAAUAAGCCUGCACCAGAAAAAAGUGGGGCAGAGCACACGGCAGCAGCAUGUGCCAUCCAAAACCAGAGCCUGGCUGGUCAAAACUACACUCUGCGGACCUGGAUUGGCACUGCUGGAGCCCUGGAAGGCCUCCAAAACCCCAGGAACACAGGACUAGAAGGGCCUCCCAAGCCACUGAGUCUCUUCUUUUGCAGGCAACUAUUUAUCUAAGGAGUCCCAAAAACCACCCGCUCCAAUGCCUUACACAUGACAACCACAUGGCACCUUGUGAAAAGGAAACCACAUGUGCCUGCUGCCUGCCACAAGGGAGACCAGGGCACCACCCAUGCUCUGCCUUGUCAGUGGGAGGGAGGUUAGGAGUCUGGUACAUGCUCCAAGCAAGAGGACCACACCUCAUGUGACGGGAAAGGAAAAACCACUGCAGUCCUUGCCAGUCUCCUCUGGGGCGAAAAUUUCUACCUCUUCUCAAAUGUGGCAAUUAGCUUGGCCCUGAGCUUAAGAGCAAGGCCCUCCAGCUGGCCUCCUGGGAACCAGACCUUCUACUGAGAAUAGAAAAUGGAGGGUCUCAUGCAUUCACUUGAUGCCAGACCUGGGGCUUUAAAGAAGACAUGCAGGCUAACGCAAAGCAAGUAAUGAAACGGCAAAGGGUGGUGCUAUUGGCUCCUGCGGGUGCAAGGUGCUUGUCACAGCAUAGGAAGGAAGAUCACAGGGACAGAUCUUGCCAAGACCAGGAUGAUUUACAUCUAUGAAACACAAACCAGGUACCUCCAGCCCACUCCUGCUUACUGACACCACCCCAAACCACAGCUGUUCCCAAUGAACGCUUGCCAGACAAUCCUGGGUCUUCACUGCACACUUCCUUACAACAAGGGACAGAAGAUCCUUCAUUAUAUAGGACUCCAGGCUCCAGUUCCCUCCUGUUGAGCAUGCUUUGCAAACAAGGAAGUUGGAAAGCAAGCUGUUCUUUCCCCCACUUUUUCAAGAAAGCAAGACUGAGGUACUGUGCCCAGCUCUCCAAUGCUAUUGGACAAACAUUGGCUGGGGCGGUUUGGCCAGUGAUGAUCCUGCCUUGUGAGGUCCCUUCUAGUCCUACUUUCCUAUAAUCCUAUGAUUGCACUUUGGGAAGGAGGAAUAGGGGGCCGGCAAAGCUGGGGAGGGCUGUGCGCUGGGUUCUUCUUGCCUGAUUUGGUACUGCUGGCAAGACUGAGGAGCCUUGGCUUGUCCUUGGGGCUCUGGUCAACUAACAAAAAAUGAAACUAGUCUGUUGUUAUGGCCAUGCCUUUCUGUUCCCCACUGCCAACCUGCCUUGUCACAAGCUACAGAUGGAUGCCAUCUUUGUGGUGGGAUCAGCUGUGCCAAGAUGUGUCACAGCACAGCUGAUCCUACAGGUGAGCAGAGACAUACAGUGCCUGGGGUAGCCUGCCCGCACUCUCCUAACAUAAGUGAAAGGAUGUCCACACAACAGAGCUGCACAAAUUAUUAGUAGGAAUAGUCAUUCUCACAAUUAUGGCCAUUUGUGGUGUGACAGGGCAGCGGUGUCUGUUUGCUCAGGCUUUAUGCUGCCAUCAAAUAUUUUUAUGAUUUUUUUUUUUUUUUAAUCUAUUUGCAGCCAUAGGGACCUGUGGGACUUUCACCUGGGCAUUGGGAGCCUGGGUCAGCCCUGUCCUGUAUGGCUACUGUCAUUUCUCACCUUGCUUCUUCCAGGCACUGUUCCCCAGUGCUCCCUGCUGGGCAGUGUUUUUAGUACCCUUGGCUUUUUGCAUCCCACCCCAAGCACCAUUGUUUUGUCCAAGUCUGGUAGAGCAGUAAUGUGCUUAUUCUCUAGGCUCAAGAAACCUCACAUCUCAGUGCCUCCAGCUGUGCUUCUCCUAGAACAGGGGUGGGCAAAAUACAGGCCACAGACCGGUUCCAACUCACAGAGGGACUUUGUCUGGCCCGCAGCGGGUCCCUCGGUCCCGCCCGGCCCAGAUGCCGUCCAGCCUCUAGCACGUCCCGCUACCUCCGGGUGCACAGCAGGGCUGGGGUGGUUCCAUGGCUGGACUUCAUUUCUAGGCAGCCUAGGCAGUGGCGGCUCCUUCUGGAUGCUGCCGCUGCUGACUCUGGCACCAUGGAGACUAACGAGGACCUGCACACCCAGACCCAGCCCACCCUGUGCCCACUCUGGACCAGCUGGGACCCACGUGCAUAGCCCCAACCCUGCCCCGCUCUGUGCCUGCUUUGGACCCACCCACCCAUGGUGAGUAGUGGCAGCUGGGCUGAAGCUGCUGCUGGGCACAGGGGAAAAGUGGCUGCCUUCUC